UACGUAGGUCCCGAGCGUUGUCCGGAUUUAUUGGGCGUAAAGCGAGCGCAGGUGGUUUAUUAAGUCUGGUGUAAAAGGCAGUGGCUCAACCAUUGUAUGCAUUGGAAACUGGUAGGCUUGAGUGCGGAGAGGAGAGUGGAAUUCCAUGUGUAGCGGUGAAAUGCGUAGAUAUAUGGAGGAACACCGGUGGCGAAAGCGGCUCUCUGGCCUGUAACUGACACUGAGGCUCGAAAGCGUGGGGAGCAAACAGG
rnacentral:rRNA from 1 species